GGUUAAGCGACUAAGCGUACACGGUGGAUGCCCUGGCAGUCAGAGGCGAUGAAGGACGUGCUAAUCUGCGAUAAGCGUCGGUAAGGUGAUAUGAACCGUUAUAACCGGCGAUUUCCGAAUGGGGAAACCCAGUGUGUUUCGACACACUAUCAUUAACUGAAUCCAUAGGUUAAUGAGGCGAACCGGGGGAACUGAAACAUCUAAGUACCCCGAGGAAAAGAAAUCAACCGAGAUUCCCCCAGUAGCGGCGAGCGAACGGGGAGCAGCCCAGAGCCUGAAUCAGUGUGUGUGUUAGUGGAAGCGUCUGGAAAGGCGCGCGAUACAGGGUGACAGCCCCGUACACAAAAAUGCACAUGCUGUGAGCUCGAUGAGUAGGGCGGGACACGUGGUAUCCUGUCUGAAUAUGGGGGGACCAUCCUCCAAGGCUAAAUACUCCUGACUGACCGAUAGUGAACCAGUACCGUGAGGGAAAGGCGAAAAGAACCCCGGCGAGGGGAGUGAAAAAGAACCUGAAACCGUGUACGUACAAGCAGUGGGAGCACGCUUAGGCGUGUGACUGCGUACCUUUUGUAUAAUGGGUCAGCGACUUAUAUUCUGUAGCAAGGUUAACCGAAUAGGGGAGCCGAAGGGAAACCGAGUCUUAACUGGGCGUUAAGUUGCAGGGUAUAGACCCGAAACCCGGUGAUCUAGCCAUGGGCAGGUUGAAGGUUGGGUAACACUAACUGGAGGACCGAACCGACUAAUGUUGAAAAAUUAGCGGAUGACUUGUGGCUGGGGGUGAAAGGCCAAUCAAACCGGGAGAUAGCUGGUUCUCCCCGAAAGCUAUUUAGGUAGCGCCUCGUGAAUUCAUCUCCGGGGGUAGAGCACUGUUUCGGCAAGGGGGUCAUCCCGACUUACCAACCCGAUGCAAACUACGAAUACCGGAGAAUGUUAUCACGGGAGACACACGGCGGGUGCUAACGUCCGUCGUGAAGAGGGAAACAACCCAGACCGCCAGCUAAGGUCCCAAAGUCAUGGUUAAGUGGGAAACGAUGUGGGAAGGCCCAGACAGCCAGGAUGUUGGCUUAGAAGCAGCCAUCAUUUAAAGAAAGCGUAAUAGCUCACUGGUCGAGUCGGCCUGCGCGGAAGAUGUAACGGGGCUAAACCAUGCACCGAAGCUGCGGCAGCGACACUAUGUGUUGUUGGGUAGGGGAGCGUUCUGUAAGCCUGUGAAGGUGUACUGUGAGGUAUGCUGGAGGUAUCAGAAGUGCGAAUGCUGACAUAAGUAACGAUAAAGCGGGUGAAAAGCCCGCUCGCCGGAAGACCAAGGGUUCCUGUCCAACGUUAAUCGGGGCAGGGUGAGUCGACCCCUAAGGCGAGGCCGAAAGGCGUAGUCGAUGGGAAACAGGUUAAUAUUCCUGUACUUGGUGUUACUGCGAAGGGGGGACGGAGAAGGCUAUGUUGGCCGGGCGACGGUUGUCCCGGUUUAAGCGUGUAGGCUGGUUUUCCAGGCAAAUCCGGAAAAUCAAGGCUGAGGCGUGAUGACGAGGCACUACGGUGCUGAAGCAACAAAUGCCCUGCUUCCAGGAAAAGCCUCUAAGCAUCAGGUAACAUCAAAUCGUACCCCAAACCGACACAGGUGGUCAGGUAGAGAAUACCAAGGCGCUUGAGAGAACUCGGGUGAAGGAACUAGGCAAAAUGGUGCCGUAACUUCGGGAGAAGGCACGCUGAUAUGUAGGUGAAGUCCCUCGCGGAUGGAGCUGAAAUCAGUCGAAGAUACCAGCUGGCUGCAACUGUUUAUUAAAAACACAGCACUGUGCAAACACGAAAGUGGACGUAUACGGUGUGACGCCUGCCCGGUGCCGGAAGGUUAAUUGAUGGGGUCAGCGCAAGCGAAGCUCUUGAUCGAAGCCCCGGUAAACGGCGGCCGUAACUAUAACGGUCCUAAGGUAGCGAAAUUCCUUGUCGGGUAAGUUCCGACCUGCACGAAUGGCGUAAUGAUGGCCAGGCUGUCUCCACCCGAGACUCAGUGAAAUUGAACUCGCUGUGAAGAUGCAGUGUACCCGCGGCAAGACGGAAAGACCCCGUGAACCUUUACUAUAGCUUGACACUGAACAUUGAGCCUUGAUGUGUAGGAUAGGUGGGAGGCUUUGAAGUGUGGACGCCAGUCUGCAUGGAGCCGACCUUGAAAUACCACCCUUUAAUGUUUGAUGUUCUAACGUUGACCCGUGAUCCGGGUUGCGGACAGUGUCUGGUGGGUAGUUUGACUGGGGCGGUCUCCUCCUAAAGAGUAACGGAGGAGCACGAAGGUUGGCUAAUCCUGGUCGGACAUCAGGAGGUUAGUGCAAUGGCAUAAGCCAGCUUGACUGCGAGCGUGACGGCGCGAGCAGGUGCGAAAGCAGGUCAUAGUGAUCCGGUGGUUCUGAAUGGAAGGGCCAUCGCUCAACGGAUAAAAGGUACUCCGGGGAUAACAGGCUGAUACCGCCCAAGAGUUCAUAUCGACGGCGGUGUUUGGCACCUCGAUGUCGGCUCAUCACAUCCUGGGGCUGAAGUAGGUCCCAAGGGUAUGGCUGUUCGCCAUUUAAAGUGGUACGCGAGCUGGGUUUAGAACGUCGUGAGACAGUUCGGUCCCUAUCUGCCGUGGGCGCUGGAGAACUGAGGGGGGCUGCUCCUAGUACGAGAGGACCGGAGUGGACGCAUCACUGGUGUUCGGGUUGUCAUGCCAAUGGCACUGCCCGGUAGCUAAAUGCGGAAGAGAUAAGUGCUGAAAGCAUCUAAGCACGAAACUUGCCCCGAGAUGAGUUCUCCCUGACCCUUUAAGGGUCCUGAAGGAACGUUGAAGACGACGACGUUGAUAGGCCGGGUGUGUAAGCGCAGCGAUGCGUUGAGCUAACCGGUACUAAUGAACCGUGAGGCUUAACCUU
rnacentral:rRNA from 1 species